rnacentral:rRNA from 1 species
GGUUGAUCCUGCCAGUAGCCAUAUGCUUGUUUAAAGGAUUAAGCCAUGCAUGUGUAAGUAUUAAUGAGAGUUUAAUAGUGAAACUGCGAAUGGCUCAAUAAAACAGUUAUAGUUUAUUCGAUGAUAUCGAGGUUAUUUGGGAAUAACCGCAGUAAUUCUGGGGCUAAUACAUGCUUAAAAGGGAAAUAUUUCAUACUUAAAAAAAAGGAUAUUUUACCUGUAUUUAUUAGACUUGAAAAUCGGAAAAAGUAGAAAUACUUUUUUAUACUGUAGUUGAAUCAUAAUAACUCAAA